rnacentral:rRNA from 1 species
UACGUAGGUGGCAAGCGUUGUCCGGAUUUAUUGGGUUUAAAGGGUGCGUAGGCGGUUCCAUAAGUCAGUGGUGAAAUACGGCAGCUCAACUGUCGAGGUGCCAUUGAUACUGCGGAACUUGAGUGUUGAUGAGGCAGGCGGAAUUGACGGUGUAGCGGUGAAAUGCAUAGAUAUUGUCAAGAACACCAAUUGCGAAGGCAGCUUACUAAAUUAUAACUGACGCUGAGGCACGAAAGUGUGGGUAUCAAACAGG